CUCCGAACGGUUCCUGGGGAGCAGCAUGAUAGGAACACUUAUUCCCAGUCGCAAGUCCCCUUCUCCAUCCUUCCCAGGACGAGCCUGAAUAGUCCUCAGGAGCUGAGACAUCUGUUGUUCAGAGAGGGAGGUGUGCCGGUGGAGCUCUGAGGGUGUUCUGCAGUUGCUAAGUGCAUUGUUUGGAGAGGGCGACACGUGUCCAGUGCGCAGAGCUGAGGACCGAACCCAGGGCUUGCUCUUCCUAGGCAAGUGCUCUACCACUGAGCCAAAUCCCCACCCUCAUUUUCUCUCUCUCCUACACACACA